UACGUAGGUGGCAAGCGUUGUCCGGAUUUAUUGGGCGUAAAGAGCGCGCAGGCGGUUCGCAAAGUCCGAGGUGAAAUCUCCCGGCUCAACUGGGAGGGGUCUUCGGAUACUGGCGGGCUUGAGGAGAGCAGAGGUGAGCGGAAUUCUCGGUGUAGUGGUGAAAUGCGUAGAUAUCGAGAGGAACACCAGCGGCGAAGGCGGCUCACUGGGCUCCACCUGACGCUGAGGCGCGAAAGCGUGGGGAGCGAACCGG
rnacentral:rRNA from 1 species